rnacentral:rRNA from 1 species
UAAGGAAUAUUGGGCAAUGGGCGAAAGCCUGACCCAGCCAUGCCGCGUGCAGGAUGACGGCCCUACGGGUUGUAAACUGCUUUUAUACGGGAAAAACCCCCCGGUCGUGCACCGGGGCUGAUGGUACCGUAAGAAUAAGCAUCGGCUAACUCCGUGCCAGCAGCCGCGGUAAUACGGAGGAUGCAAGCGUUAUCCGGAUUUACUGGGUUUAAAGGGUGCGCAGGCGGAACGAUCAGUCAGUGGUGAAAUCUCCCGGCUUAACCGGGAAACUGCCGUUGAUACUAUCGUUCUUGAGUCCAGUUGAAGUAGGCGGAAUGUAGCAUGUAGCGGUGAAAUGCUUAGAUAUGCUACAGAACACCGAUAGCGAAGGCAGCUUACUAAACUGAAACUGACGCUCAGG